rnacentral:rRNA from 1 species
GAAGUGUCUGGAAAGGCGCGCGAUACAGGGUGACAGCCCCGUACACAAAAAUGCACAUGCUGUGAGCUCGAUGAGUAGGGCGGGACACGUGGUAUCCUGUCUGAAUAUGGGGGGACCAUCCUCCAAGGCUAAAUACUCCUGACUGACCGAUAGUGAACCAGUACCGUGAGGGAAAGGCGAAAAGAACCCCGGCGAGGGGAGUGAAAAAGAACCUGAAACCGUGUACGUACAAGCAGUGGGAGCACGCUUCGGCGUGUGACUGCGUACCUUUUGUAUAAUGGGUCAGCGACUUAUAUUCUGUAGCAAGGUUAACCGAAUAGGGGAGCCGAAGGGAAACCGAGUCUUAACUGGGCGUUAAGUUGCAGGGUAUAGACCCGAAACCCGGUGAUCUAGCCAUGGGCAGGUUGAAGGUUGGGUAACACUAACUGGAGGACCGAACCGACUAAUGUUGAAAAAUUAGCGGAUGACUUGUGGCUGGGGGUGAAAGGCCAAUCAAACCGGGAGAUAGCUGGUUCUCCCCGAAAGCUAUUUAGGUAGCGCCUCGUGAAUUCAUCUCCGGGGGUAGAGCACUGUUUCGGCAAGGGGGUCAUCCCGACUUACCAACCCGAUGCAAACUGCGAAUACCGGAGAAUGUUAUCACGGGAGACACACGGCGGGUGCUAACGUCCGUCGUGAAGAGGGAAACAACCCAGACCGCCAGCUAAGGUCCCAAAGUCAUGGUUAAGUGGGAAACGAUGUGGGAAGGCCCAGACAGCCAGGAUGUUGGCUUAGAAGCAGCCAUCAUUUAAAGAAAGCGUAAUAGCUCACUGGUCGAGUCGGCCUGCGCGGAAGAUGUAACGGGGCUAAACCAUG